rnacentral:sRNA from 1 species
ACUUGUACUUUGCAGGUCUUACUUGUACUUUGCAGGUCUUACUUGUACUUUGUAGGUCUUACUUGUAGUAUAUUUUUUAAUAUGAAAAAAAUCUAAGCAUUCUUCAACUCUUUCUCUCCUAACUGAUGAUACCAACGUUGAUUCCACCAGAAUGUGAUAAAUAAUUACGGAGAGAAAGAGUUAAGAAACAAUAAUUUGACUUCCUGCACACAUCACUGCUUGCUUUUGUCAACUGCACUGUGUCACAACUUUAAACUGCAUUUUAUUUUUCAUUUGAACUUCAAGUUACAAUGUGCACUGUUCUAUUAAUUGGAAUGUUUUAAUUUUUCUAGUGAACUUGUGAUUCCGUAGUUUCGCUGGUUUGUGAUGAGGAUGAACUGUGAACUGCAGCUGUGACCAGUGCCUGCUCGUGUUCCUACUAAACACUAACCCAAGUCUUGAAUUAGUUCUCCUGUAGAGAAGCAUCACUUAUCUAUAUAUUUUAUGUACAUCUCAAAGUAAUGUAAAUAGUAAAUCUGUUUGUUUAUGACCACUGGCCUAUAUAUAUUUAUGCAUGUAUUUAAAAACUAACAAUGUUGAUUCUGUGUGGCUGAAUGGUUGGUUUGAACUUCUGGGAGAGGAUGCCCCACUAAUUUUAGAAAAAAAAUCUCUUUUUUCUUCAUCUUAUUUUCCUAUAUUAUUUGGAAUAGUUCUAUUGCUUGACAUGUACGUCUUCAAAUGUUGUCAUGAAAUUAUUUCGAUUAGUUUAAUCAUCAGCAAUACUGACUGGUCCUCACGGAGAGCAGAUUCAUUGAUUUGGGUGUCAUCUAUUGAUUUGAGUUCAUUCAGAAUCUGCCAUUCUCUUGCCCGUCAUGUUCUUCUUUUUUAUUUUACCUUUAUUUUGAGUUGGGACAUUACAUUCUGUGGUUGUUGUUUUUUGUCUGUGAAUAAAGUUACACUUUUGCAUGCAACACAUGCUCUGUAAUUAUCUCCCUUACAUUGAGUAUUUGCUAACAUUGAAAAUGAACCUGACUGUAAAUAAUGUUGUCAUUCACUGAUCACCUUUUUCUUUUUCAUUGUUUAUUUUGGCUGAAGGUUGUUUGUUUUUUUCUGUUUUAUACUAGACAUGGUUUUCUUGGACAUAGUCUGUGUUGAAAUCAAACUAGUUACCUCGUAUUCUUGAACGCCAUCUGUGUAUAAAACAAACUAGUCCUUUACUAGCAAGCAGUCUGUGUUGAAAUCAAGCUAAUGAAACGUAGCAGGCUUUUACAGUGUUUUAACAUGAACUCCCAUAUCACCUAGUGAUGCGUGUACAUAAACAAUUUACCUUCUGUUUCAUUGCUACCAAAGUUGUACAUUUGAUUUUAUUGAAUGGCUUUAUUCUUAACACUUUUUUUUUCCAUAUCAAUCUAGCCCUCCCCUUUGUCACAUGACAUUUACAAGUUCUUUUAUGUAAAUAUUAAGAUUUGUUUCAACUUUAUAUUUCUUAUCAAGGGUCUUUCUUUUAUGUCUGUAAUGUUCAAUACACUGUGAAAUCUUUUCAUCGCAUGGUCGAUGACUUCUUGUACAAUUUGUUGUUUGUUUUUUCUGUGCAAUUUUUCCCAUUAUAUUUAUGUUUUUUUCUUUUGGGGAAUGACUUUUUCUUGAGACCUUCUGGGCAGAGAUCCAUGUUCGAGGCUGGUAGUCUUUAGACCUACUGGAUAGAGAUCCUUGUUCUAGGCUGGUAGUCUUUAGACCUACUGGAUAGAGAUCCAUGUUCUAGGCUGGUAAUCUUUAGACCUACUGGACUACUGUUUAUGUUCUAGUUUUGGGAUAGCAUGUUUCAAUAUUUUUUUGUUUUGCUCAUAAUAUAAUUGAGCUUCUGAUUCAGAAUUUGGUUGUUCUCAGCUAUCUGAUCAAUGUAUUUUAUGUUCCUAAUAAGUUUUGUCAUCAACAAUGUCAACUUGUAUAGUGCAUCAAUAGCAGUAGGUUGCGCUAGUGUACACGACUGAUGGUUUUGGAAAGUAACAAUGUCUGGACACUAGGGCAGUGAUGUACCGGGCUGUUUUUCUGCUUAAUAAUAAUUCAGUUGUAUAGCUCUUACAUUUCAUUAUAUCCAGUUGGUCAGUUCACUAUCUCAGCAUGCUUAUUGUCCAGCUGGCCUGGAUUGAUUAGGCACAAGGUAUGGCUGGAGAUAGUGACCAGUUCUAGUUCUACCGCUACUUUUUAUUUCCCAGUCUGCAUGAAUUGAUGUCAUUGUGUUGUCAUGGUUACAAAGUUGUUCUCAGCAUGUUGUCAUUGUGUUGUCAUGUUACAGAGUUGUUCUCAGCUUCCUCCUGUAGAAUUCUUUCUUUAAUAAAUGGGUUGUUGUCUUUUCUUAUUUGAAUCAUCCUUUCUAUUCUAGUUGUGUUCAAUGUAUCUGGCGCCGAUCACUUUAUGCCAUGUUGUGGUUGUAGUGGUACAUUGUUUCCAAUGAUACUACUAUGAAAAUACCUGUGUUAUAGUUUUCAUUAUUUGACCCAAACCUGUCAGUUUUUACUAGACCCUGUCAAUCAGUCUGGACGUUACUAUGGCAGCCUCAUUGCCUGUGUGUUAACAUAAAUAAUCUGCUCGUACUUUUACUGAUAAUUUCUAAUGAAACCAUUAGUAUCUUCUCAUCCAAAAUACAAGAAUUGAAUAUCUUCAAUAUGUUUACAUUAUAACAGUAGACGGCCAUUUUACAAACUGAUGUCAUUAAUACUUGAGACUAAAGAUUACAAGCUAAACAUUUCAUAUUUACAUGUUUUCUUUCUUAAGUGUCCUCCAGAUUGAAAGAUAAUGCAGAAUAUUUGACUGCAUAGAUGCCAAGUCACUUAAUUAUUUAAUUUGGGAAGCUAAAAAAGUGUCUAACUGGACAGAUUUGUUAAAACAUCCUUUCUUGAACGUAUAAAUAGCUUCAGGCAAGAAUAAUAUGUCUUUUUUUUUUUUUUUAGAGGUUAUUUUAAACAUCUUUUGUCAGUUGGUCAACAUAAAUAAAACAGAAAAUUUAAUCACUAAUUGACAAUUGCUUUGUUCAUACAAGUGCAUCAAAAGGCAGUUUGGCAUUAAUAUCUGACCUUAGUUGGGAAAAUAUGUUCUCUAGUGUAAAUGCUAUUUAGAGCAGUGUUUAAAAAAAAAAAAUUAAAAAUCCAGCAUCAUGAAUUUUUAAUUUCAAUAAAAAGUUAUGAAAAAAGGGGUGGGUUCAUUACAUAAUAUAUUGGUUAGGUGACAUCUUUACAAAUAAUUUUGGUUAGGUGACAUCCUUACAAAUUAUUUUGGUUAGGUGACAUCUUUACAAAUAAUUUUGGUUAGGUGACAUCCCUACCAAUUAUUUUGGUUAGGUGACAUCUUUACAAAUUAUUUUGGUUAGGUGACAUCUUUACAAAUUAUUUUGGUUAGGUGACAUCUUUACAAAUUACUUUGGUUAGGUAACAUCUUUACAAAUUACUUUGGUUAGGUAACAUCUUUACAAAUUAUUUUGGUUAGGUGACAUCUUUACAAAUUACUUUGGUUAGGUAACAUCUUUACAAAUUACUUUGGUUAGGUAACAUCUUUACAAAUUACAAUUGAGUAGAAAUCAAAAUGACUAAUUUGGAUGUAAAAUUUCUGCCUAAGAGCCGUCUCUAUUAAGUCCACUUACUGUACAAGAUGUAUGUUUCCUCUAUAAGAUACCUAGACUAGGCUGCUCUCAUUGAGUCAUGUCCUUUGAUGUUCUUUGUGAUAACAUUUAUUUUGAUGACAUUCUUGAUCUGGUGCCUUGAUUUCAAUACACAGAAGCAUCUUGUAAUAUAAAACAAAACAUCUUGUAUUAUAUUUUUGUCAUUCAUGUAUUGGUUUGUCUUGAUCUCUUCAUUUCAUUCUGCCCAAUUUGCCAACAAUUUGCUUUUUCGCACAAGCUUGCUAGACUGGGGGCUGCAUCUCAUGAGUGUCUGAAUUCUACCGUGUAACCUGUCAAUUUUUUUUUUUGGUCUCCGAGAAAAUUUUUUUUGUUGAAAGCUUUUGGUUCAAGACAAUCCACUAGUUAGCAGGGGCACUAACCUCUUCAUCCUUGCUUCCUCAACAUCCUUUGUUGUUUUUUUCUCUGUACUAUGCUGUCUGAAUCUUGUCAAACAGGAGUUAUUUCCCACUGGCUGUAGCUACUGACUUAUUUCCCUUCUUUUUGGCAUGAAUGUUUCCCAACAAACCUAUUAACAAACUAUAGUAGCCUAUAAAUAACUGCUAAAUACUAGAUUAUUUAUGUACAUUUCAGAAAAUUGAUCAUACAUUUCGAUGAUUACAUUAUGGAGAAAAUAGACUAUUGCUUCUUGUUAAAGAAGUGAGUUUUAAUUAUUUGAUGUCAUCAAAUAUUAAUGACAGUAAAAAAAAAAUUUUUUUCUUCAACUUUGUCCCUUAUCAAACUAGGUAUGACAGUCAAGAUAAAUUAAGCCGUUUAAACUUCCUAUCACCUUCCUCGACUGGUUGAUCAAUUUACUGAUCAUUUAAGUCAAUGAUGGAGUCGCUGAUCAAAUACCUGCAGUCUCAAGGUAUCCUGUGAUGCAUCAGGCCAUCCCACUAGGCCUCUAAGUUUGAGGCUGGAAAGUUGUCUGCAUCAAAUUUUGUUUGCUUUGGAUGAAGAAAAAAAA